rnacentral:rRNA from 1 species
ACUCAAAUGAAUUGACGGGGACUUGCACAAGCAGUGGAUUAUGCGGUUUAAUUCGAUGGCAAACGAAAAACCUUACCAGGGCUAGAAAUCUAGGUGAAUACCAGAAGAAACUUUGGUAGUUCGCAAGAACAUCUAGACAGGUGAUGCAUGGCCGUCGUCAGUUCGUGGUUUGAGUUGUUCCCUUAAGUGGGGUAACGAACGCAACCCUCGUUGCCUGUUACAAGUGUCAGGCGAGACCGCCCAGCCUUCUCUAUAUUUUUUAAAGUAUGUAGAAGGCUGGGAGGAAGUGAGGAUGACGCCAGGUCAGCAUGUCCCUUUGACGUCCUGGGCUACACGCAUAAUACAAUGGUCACUACAACGGGUCGCGACGAGGUAACUCUGAGCUAAUCCUAAGAAAAGUGGCCUCAGUUCGGAUUGAGGGCUGCAACUCGACCUCAUGAAGCUGGAAUUGCUAGUAAUCGCGGGUCAGCUAUACCGCGGUGAAUACGUUCUCAAGUCUUGUACACACCGCCCGU